GUAUAAUGGGUCAGCGACUUAUAUUCUGUAGCAAGGUUAACCGAAUAGGGGAGCCGAAGGGAAACCGAGUCUUAACUGGGCGUUAAGUUGCAGGGUAUAGACCCGAAACCCGGUGAUCUAGCCAUGGGCAGGUUGAAGGUUGGGUAACACUAACUGGAGGACCGAACCGACUAAUGUUGAAAAAUUAGCGGAUGACUUGUGGCUGGGGGUGAAAGGCCAAUCAAACCGGGAGAUAGCUGGUUCUCCCCGAAAGCUAUUUAGGUAGCGCCUCGUGAAUUCAUCUCCGGGGGUAGAGCACUGUUUCGGCAAGGGGGUCAUCCCGACUUACCAACCCGAUGCAAACUGCGAAUACCGGAGAAUGUUAUCACGGGAGACACACGGCGGGUGCUAACGUCCGUCGUGAAGAGGGAAACAACCCAGACCGCCAGCUAAGGUCCCAAAGUCAUGGUUAAGUGGGAAACGAUGUGGGAAGGCCCAGACAGCCAGGAUGUUGGCUUAGAAGCAGCCAUCAUUUAAAGAAAGCGUAAUAGCUCACUGGUCGAGUCGGCCUGCGCGGAAGAUGUAACGGGGCUAAACCAUGCACCGAAGCUGCGGCAGCGACGCUUAUGCGUUGUUGGGUAGGGGAGCGUUCUGUAAGCCUGCGAAGGUGUGCUGUGAGGCAUGCUGGAGGUAUCAGAAGUGCGAAUGCUGACAUAAGUAACGAUAAAGCGGGUGAAAAGCCCGCUCGCCGGAAGACCAAGGGUUCCUGUCCAACGUUAAUCGGGGCAGGGUGAGUCGACCCCUAAGGCGAGGCCGAAAGGCGUAGUCGAUGGGAAACAGGUUAAUAUUCCUGUACUUGGUGUUACUGCGAAGGGGGGACGGAGAAGGCUAUGUUGGCCGGGCGACGGUUGUCCCGGUUUAAGCGUGUAGGCUGGUUUUCCAGGCAAAUCCGGAAAAUCAAGGCUGAGGCGUGAUGACGAGGCACUACGGUGCUGAAGCAACAAAUGCCCUGCUUCCAGGAAAAGCCUCUAAGCAUCAGGUAACAUCAAAUCGUACCCCAAACCGACACAGGUGGUCAGGUAGAGAAUACCAAGGCGCUUGAGAGAACUCGGGUGAAGGAACUAGGCAAAAUGGUGCCGUAACUUCGGGAGAAGGCACGCUGAUAUGUAGGUGAAGUCCCUCGCGGAUGGAGCUGAAAUCAGUCGAAGAUACCAGCUGGCUGCAACUGUUUAUUAAAAACACAGCACUGUGCAAACACGAAAGUGGACGUAUACGGUGUGACGCCUGCCCGGUGCCGGAAGGUUAAUUGAUGGGGUCAGCGCAAGCGAAGCUCUUGAUCGAAGCCCCGGUAAACGGCGGCCGUAACUAUAACGGUCCUAAGGUAGCGAAAUUCCUUGUCGGGUAAGUUCCGACCUGCACGAAUGGCGUAAUGAUGGCCAGGCUGUCUCCACCCGAGACUCAGUGAAAUUGAACUCGCUGUGAAGAUGCAGUGUACCCGCGGCAAGACGGAAAGACCCCGUGAACCUUUACUAUAGCUUGACACUGAACAUUGAGCCUUGAUGUGUAGGAUAGGUGGGAGGCUUUGAAGUGUGGACGCCAGUCUGCAUGGAGCCGACCUUGAAAUACCACCCUUUAAUGUUU
rnacentral:rRNA from 1 species